rnacentral:tRNA from 1 species
GGCCCUGUGGUCAAGAGGUCAAGACGGCACCCUCUCAAGGUGCAAUCACGGGUUCGAUUCCCGUCAGGGUCACCA